ensembl:lncRNA
CUUUGUGUCUACUUUUCCUCCUUUCUGCUUCACCCUUGAGCUCCCUUCCCUCUCUCACCUUGAUUCUAAGAUAUUCAGAUCGUCUACAGUUGCCCAGGGCUCCUAAUUCAUGUGCAUUCAUCUGUGUCGCUCAUCCAGUUAACAUCUAUCCAGAAUGAAUUAAACAUCAGGCACUGAGCUGACCCGCCGGGGUACCAAGAUGGCUAUGACAGCUUCCUGCCCUUGAGGAUACAGAAUUUACCAGCCAGAGAGUUCCGAUUUCGUGGACAGCAUGCCCGUAAAAGACUUUGAUGAUGACAGUUGGCGAUGUCCAUGGCAGUUAAUGAAUGACAGCACAACGGUGAUCAUAGUGCUUCAGGAAGAGUCUCUCAGAAUGCUGUGCUGUGGCCACUGCUGAGUUUUCCAAAUUUGCUGGCAUAUUGAGUGCAGCACUUUCACAGCAUCAUCUUUCAGGAUUUGAAACAGCUCCACCGGAAUUUCAUCACCUCCACUAGCUUUGUUCGUAGUGAUCCUUUCUAAGGCCCACUUGACUUCACAUUCCAG